rnacentral:rRNA from 1 species
GAUCAGUGGCUACAGGACGAACGCUGGCGGCGUGCUUAACACAUGCAAGUCGAGCGGAAAGGCUCCUUCGGGGGUACUCGAGCGGCGAACGGGUGAGUAACACGUGAGUAAUCUGCCCUUGGCUUCGGGAUAACUACCGGAAACGGUGGCUAAUACCGGAUAUGACCACUCCUUGCAUGAGGUGGUGGUGGAAAGUUUUUUCGGCCAGGGAUGUGCUCGCGGCCUAUCAGCUUGUUGGUGGGGUAAUGGCCUACCAAGGCUUCGACGGGUAGCCGGCCUGAGAGGGUGACCGGCCACACUGGGACUGAGACACGGCCCAGACUCCUACGGGAGGCAGCAGUGGGGAAUAUUGGACAAUGGGCGGAAGCCUGAUCCAGCAACGCCGCGUGAGGGAUGACGGCCUUCGGGUUGUAAACCUCUUUCAGUACCGACGAAGCGCCGAUGAUGGUGGUGACGGUAGGUACAGAAGAAGCACCGGCCAACUACGUG